GGCCCGAUAGCCUAGCCUGGAUAGGGCGACAGCCUUCUAAGCUGUAGACCGCGAGUUCAAAUCUCGCUCGGGCCG
rnacentral:tRNA from 1 species